GAUGAACGCUGGCGGCGUGCCUAAUACAUGCAAGUCGAGCGAACAGAUGAGGAGCUUGCUCCUCUGACGUUAGCGGCGGACGGGUGAGUAACACGUGGAUAACCUACCUAUAAGACUGGGAUAACUUCGGGAAACCGGAGCUAAUACCGGAUAAUAUAUUGAACCGCAUGGUUCAAUAGUGAAAGACGGUUUUGCUGUCACUUAUAGAUGGAUCCGCGCCACAUUAGCUAGUUGGUAAGGUAACGGCUUACCAAGGCAACGAUGCGUAGCCGACCUGAGAGGGUGAUCGGCCACACUGGAACUGAGACACGGUCCAGACUCCUACGGGAGGCAGCAGUAGGGAAUCUUCCGCAAUGGGCGAAAGCCUGACGGAGCAACGCCGCGUGAGUGAUGAAGGUCUUCGGAUCGUAAAACUCUGUUAUUGGGGAAGAACAAAUGUGUAAGUAACUAUGCACGUCUUGACGGUACCUAAUCAGAAAGCCACGGCUAACUACGUG
rnacentral:rRNA from 1 species